AUGGUUGAGCAUGGAGGUAGCUGCCAACCUAAUGUGGUGACCUAUAGCACCGUGAUUGAUGGCUUGUUGACAGAGGGUGAGGUGAACAAGGCUUACAGCCUAUUUUGUGAAAUGUUACAGAGGGGAAUUUCGCCGAAUGUUGUGACCUGUAGUUCAAUCAUCUCUGGCAUGUGCAAGCUUCAUGCGAUGGACAAGGCGGAGGAGGUUCUUCAACAGAUGUUUGAGAGACGAAUUCUGCCAGAUGUUGCCACAUAUACUAGUCUAAUACAUGGAUAUUAUUCAUUAGGACAGUGCAAAGAGGUGGAUUGGAUUUUAUGGGAAAUGUCUAGAAAUGGUGUUCAACCAGAUAUUGUAACUUACAAUAUACAGAUGGAUUAUCUUUGUAAGAGCGGAAGGUGCGCAAAAGCUAGGAAAAUAUUUGAUUCCAUGGUCGGUUUGGGCCAAAAACCAGAUGUUACUACCUACAACGUUCUGCUUCAUGGGUAUGCUAUGGAAAGAUCUUUUCAUGAUAUGAAUUGUCUCAUUGAGUUGAUGGAUGAUAAUGGUAUUUCACCAGAUCAUUAUGGCUACAACAUACUCAUAUCUGCUUAUGCUAAAGAAAAAAUGGUUGAUGAAGUAAUGCAUAUAUUUACAAAAAUGCGGCAGCAAGGACUGAACCCUGAUGUAGUGAACUAUGGAGCGGCAGUAAACUUGCUUUCCAAGAUUGGCCGAAUGGAUGAUGCUAUGUCCCAAUUCAAUCAAAUGAUAACUGAAGGGUUAGCUCCUGAUAUCAUAGUUUUCACCCCCCUUAUUAGUGGUUUCUGUUCUUGUGGCAAAUGGGAGAAGGUUGAUGAACUAUUUUCUGAGAUGUUGGAUCGCGGCAUCUGUCCCAACACAGUGUUCUUCAACACAAUCAUGGACCGCCUUUGCAAAAAUGAAAGGGUUAUGGAAGCCCAAGAUCUCUUCGACCUGAUGGUACACAUGGGUGUGAAGCCUGAUGUGUGUACUUAUAACACACUGAUAGGUGGAUACUUGUUCGUUGGUAAGAUGGAUGAAGUGAGCAAGUUACUUGACAAUAUGGUCUCAAUUGGCAUGGAACCAGAUGUUAUCACCUAUAACAUACUGAUUGAUGGUUACUCUAAGAAUGGAAAGAUAGAUGAUGCAUUGGUUGUUUUUAGGGGGAUGUUGGAAAGGAAGGAUAAGCCUUCUGUUAUCACUUUUAAUAUUAUGAUUGGUGCGUUGCUUAAAUGUCACAGGAAGGAAGAAGCAAAAGAUUUGUUUGACGGUAUCUGGGCCAAAGGAUUAGUUCCUGAUGUUGUUACAUAUAGCUUAAUGAUACAAAAACUUAUAGAAGAAGGUUCUCUACAAGAGUCUGAUGAUCUAUUCCUUUCUAUGGAGAAGAAUGGAUGUGCUGCCGACUCCCGCAUGCUAAAUGCUAUAGUUAGAAGCUUACUUCAGAAAGGGGAUGUGCCCAGGGCUGGGACUUAUCUGUCUAAAAUUAAUGAGAGGAGCUUCACCCUUGAAGGUUCCACAGCUACCUUGUUGACUGCACUUGCGUCAGGGGGGAGAGGCCAGGAAUAUAAGGAGUUACUCCCUGAGAAAUACCACUCUUUUCUGGAACAGGGCAUUGAUUGA
rnacentral:rRNA from 1 species